AUCCCAGAAUGUCAUCUAUAUGUAUGUCUCUGUUAUAUAUGCGUAUGAAUGGGCCUUUCUGAAUGAAGAGUUGCAUGCUGAAGGGAAGAUAAGAUUGCCACAAGCCAGCGAGGUCAUUCCAGCUGAAAACAUGCAUUGCACAAGCUCAUGUUGUUGACAUAACAGAAAGAGAGUGGCAAGAGAGAUGGUUUUACAGAGGGUUUUGACUUUAACCCAUAUAUGCUGGAAUGACUCAUGGUGUGUGGCACUCGUUCAGUUGACAGGAAAGCAGGAACAAAUUUUUGAUUUUGACAAUUCAGUACCCCACAUCUCCAUUGCAAAAAAUACUAGUCAGCCGUUAGAAAUGCAGGUGAAUUUGCAAAGGCCUGCAGCGAGGCUGUUGAUUGGGAACCAUUGGCAGAUAGCAUACAGUUCUCAGAGCAGUUAUCAGCACACAGAAGAGAUUAUGCUGCUUUUUCAUGGCUGAGAGAGAGAGAGUUGUAAUACAGAAAGCUGUUUCUGCAGAUUUCAACUCACAAAACAGUUUGUCAGUACACAUGACGUGUGCUAGCAUUGAUUUACCGCAAGAGGUUCUUGACAAUGUACCUGAUUACCUGUGGGCUAAAGACAAGUAUGAUGUGGGCUUGAUUAAAGGGUGUGAACCAGUAACUAUCACCCCAAAGAGUGAUUAUAGACCAUGUAAACCCCAAUAUCCUCUGAAAAGGGAGGCGCUUGAGGGGAUAAGGCCAGUAUUUAAGGCAUUAUUGGGAUAAUUAUUCCCUGCCCACACUCACCUGUGAGAACACCCAUUUUUCCUGUACAAAAGGUCAGGGAUGCAGGUCAGCCCACAGAGUGGAGGUUUGUUCAAGAUCUCCAAGCAGGAAAAGCUGUGGUACAAGCAAGAGCACCUCACGUGCCAAACCCUUACACAAUUCUCUCACAGAUACCAGCUGAUGGCCAGUGGUUUUCAGUGUAGUGGAUAUUUCAAGUGCAUUCUUCAGAGUUCCUGUCCAUUCUGAUAGCCAGUUUUGGUUUGAUUUUACAUUUAAGGGGUAUAGCGAGAGCCGCACUAUUUACAAACUCUGCAUUGCAUUGUUCAUUACAGACACUUGUGUUGGAUGAUGAUGUUGCUUUAUUGCAGUACGUGGAUGACCUCUUGGUGGCGGCACCGACUCAGCAGUCGUGCACAGACAACACCAUACGGCUGCUCACUCAUCUAUCUGAGGAGGGCCACAAGGUCAACCCCAAAAAGGUACAGUGCUCUGUCCAGAAAGUAACCUUUCUAGGACACGAAAUUACACCUAUGGGUAAGUCUCUCUCUCCAAAGAGAAUAGAGGCAAUAGCUAACAUACCAAAACCCAUUACAAAGAAACAGGUGAUGUCAUUCUUGGGUAUGACAUCAUAUUGCAGGACUUUUAUUGCUAAUUAUUCUGAGAUGCAACAACCAUUGCAUGACAUGAUUUAUGAGAAACCUUUGGCACCAUCAGAGAAGGUAGAAUGGACAGAGAAGGCUGAAGGGGCAUUUGUGGAACUAAAACAGACAUUACAGCAGGCACCCACUUUGGGGCUGCCAUAUCCAAAAAAGCCUUUUAUUCAAAUGGUGGAUGAAAGAAAUGGCUGUAUGACAUCUGUUUUGUUGCAAGAACAUGGUGACAAGUUGAGACCAGUUGCAUAUUUUUCAGGACGCCUUGAUGCGGUGGCCAGGGGCCUACCAGGAUGUCUCAGGGCUUGAAAGCGCACAUCUCACUUGUCUGCAGCAAGAUGGCUGCGUUAUUCCUGUGCAUUGUUUCAGAUGUCUAAUGUCACAGUUGAAAGAUGUACAGUGCUAAACCCGGCGACAUUGUUACCUACACCUGAUGAAGGUACACCACAUUGUUGUUUGUCUGCCCUACGGGAAGUAUGCACACCAAGGCCUGACCUUGCUGACACACCCAUACCUAAAUGCACCCUCACAUAUUAUGUGGAUGGUUCCUCUUCCAGAGAUGACAGAGGCAUAGAUAGGAUGGGGUGGGCAGUUGUGUCUGACUUUGAAGUAGUGAAAUCCGGAUGCUUACCACCUCAGAAAUCUGCAAAGGUGGCUGAAUUGCAUGCACUAACACAAGCUUGUCAACUUGCUACUAAUCAAUCUAUAACCAUUUACAUUGACUGCUGAUUUUACUGACAGUUUCUCUCCUAUAACAAAUUUUACUCCUUUCUCAAAUAGCUGUGUGCAAAUGCAAAGCACACACCAAGGAACAGGACGUGAUCUCCAGAGGAAAUGCACGCACGGAUGCGGAAGCAUCUCUCAUGACUACUAACAAAAACGUUUCUCUUACACAGAUUUCCCAGGAAAAGGAAGCCGAAACACCACAGGAGUUACUAAUAAGCAUGCAAACAUUUUCUCUUCCAACAGAAAUAGCUCUAUGGAAAUCGUGUGGAGCAACCAAAACUCCUGAAGGGAUUUGGAUGGGUCUAAAUCAAAAACUUUGCUUACCUAAACAUUUUUAUUCCCAUUUUGCUAGGUUGACACAUGGGGACCACGGUGACAUGCGAUACUCUUCAAAAUGAAAAUGACAUGUUGCAAUAUUGUAUUUCUAUGUCCUCUGUAUUUCAAAAUAUCUCCAAAGCAGGUUAAAUCAGCCCUACCCCGUCCAGUAGAAGAACCAUUACACAACAUCAAACCAGGGGAUUACGUGGUGGUAAAGAACCUCAGGAGGAAAUCCUGGAAAGCCAGACGGUGGGAGGGGCCAUUUCAGUUUCUGCUGACGACUCACACCGCUGUGAAGGUCGCGGAGCGUGCCACCUGGGUGCACGUUGCCCAUUGCCGGAGGGUUGGUCCUGGACUGCAAGGUGUAAACCAAAGGGAGGACGGCUAGUCGACUGCUACGGACCACUUUUUCGUAUUGGUGGGAACCACAGAUACCUGUAUACUGCAAGUUUAUACGAAGAACGACACGAGAGAACUGCAACAGCUCACAAAGUAUUGGAGGACGACUCCAGUAUUCUGGGUUUGGUUUGGACACACGCACACGACAUCUUUAAUGUGGGUAAUCGACACGACGCUUGCAGCUUAAUAACUGUAAUUACAACACCAGCUUUGAGACCCCACAUUAAUUUAGACACUAAGAUAAUUUCAUUCGAACAAGAAAGCAGGAUAGCUUGGCACGAUUGCACCGUGUGGUCCUACCAAACCCGAACCUACAAAGGAAAUUAAUCAACAAGGGCUCACGACCCCAACUCUAACUGUGCUCAGGGCUCACGACCCCAACUCUAACUGUGCUCAAUCUGGAAUCAUCAAGGGCUCACGACCCCAACUCUAACUGUGCUCAAUUUCUUCAAGAAAACGAACUAUUUUUCUUCUUUCAAAAAUGAGAUUCAUGAUCAUACUAUGUGUGUGUGCAUUUUUACUUUUGCAACUGCACAGAACUAUAUGUACACUAUGGUUAAGGGUAAUAACCAGAGCUACGUAACGAUGACAGUAAAUGAAGUUAUGAAUAAAUCAUAAAAAGGGA